GAAAAGGAGUUUGGGUGGUGGAAUCAUUUAUUCCGGCAAGAAAAUUCGAGAACGGACAAAGUUUCUUGAAGUUCUUGGACGAAAAUCGGAGUUUAGUUGGACUUCAGGUAAACCAAUCGAAAACAGAAAAUGUGAGUAUUUCCGUAUCUUUGGACGGCCUUAACUCAUUCUGUGUUCAAGAAAAAAAAAUAAAGAAAAAAUAUAUUGUAGAAGUAGAAUAUGAGAUCUACAAUUUUCAUG